CUUUGCGACCCGUGGACUGUAGCCCACCAGGCUCCUCCGUCCAUGGGAUUCUCCAGGCACGAAUACUGGAGUGGGUUGCCAUUUCCUUCUCCAGGGGAUCUUCCCGACCCAGAGAUUGAACCCAGGUCUCCCGCAUUGGAGGCAGACGCUUUAACCUGAAAGAUUUGGCUCCUGAUAUGCAUUACCAAGGCUUUCCUUGAAGAAAGAACAGGUACUUCAGGGCCAGAAGGGUCUGGAGAGAUCAGCUUUUCUGCCUUCCCAUCAGUCCUGCCUCCAUCUGCUCUUCGGAUUCAAGCCUGGGAGACAGCUUCUCAAGAGACCCUGAGAAAACCGCUCCAAGGAGGCGGGGAGUGUGGAGCAGUCAGGAUAUACAGGUAAGUCUGCAGCAAGGGGCAAGUAGUUUGAGCAUCAAAAGAUUAUUGUUAAUUAAGGAAAACUAGAUAUCUCAAGUGAAGGAAUUUAGGGAAGAUGUAAGAGUCUGGGCUUACUGAAAUCAUUCCUUUCAUAAGCAUCUCAGCUACCUGGGGCCAGCCUCUUGAGAUUUGAUUUUUCACAUCCUUAGUUACUUGCUCACUGUAGGGAGUGGUGGCAGCUUGUGGUGGCAGCUUGAGGGCUGCUGGAUAGCAGGCGCUGUCCUUCCUGGGCUCAGAAAUUCACAUUUGGUGGGCUGGAAUCACAGAUGGCUGUGAUUCCUUGUUUAUUGAUAUGGCAGGAAAUGCUCUAUUUCACACCACCAAUUCUCAUUUGGAUUUUUAAAAUAGCCUUAUCAUGAAUCUGUAAAAAAUUUGUAAGCUGAAACCUCAAUAAACAAAUAGAGCUAGGAGAACAGAAGGGGGAGCUGUCUCGCCCUGUGACCAUCUCAGAGCCCUGCAGGAAGAAGAAAGACUCUUUCCUGGCAAUGACUCGCCAGUGAAAAGCCAUGGACUAAACCAAGGUUUACUAGAGCCCUCUUUUUUGUCUCUCUAGAAGACUUCUUCUUCCCUGGCUGUAAGGGGGUCUGCACAUGGCCUUCCAUGGUUGCAGACCCUGAACUGAAAUUGCCUACUGAGUCUGAAUAAACCCAUCUCUGCUGGAGACACAUCCAGCAGUCUAUUUGUGUGAGGCCAGCACUUGCAUCAAGCUUGCUUUCCUCGAGUCAAUCACCCUCAGAAGCUGCAAGCAGCUGUUUGCAGGAAACCAGCCUCAGCAGGAAGCCCGUUUUCUUGUCACUUGAGCGUGAAGCUACAUUGGAACUAACUUGUAAACCAUGCUCUUCUCUUCUCUGGCCCAAGCACAGUUUUAAAAACUUUCAAUCACACAAUACCUUGUCUAAUUUGCUGGUUCUUUCUGUAAGAUCAACGGAGUAGAAAUGAAGAAUUAAUAAUUAACAGAUGACCAGAUCUUUACUCUGGCUUCCCCUCCAAUAAUCUCUCCAACAAACUGGGUGAACAAGAUAACAUCUACAGGAUGACCAUGAGGAGUGGACAGUCCUGCACACAGUGGGUGGUGACAACUCUGACCCUCCUCCAAUCUCAAUGAUUACCUGAGGCGACUUCCCUUUUCCCCUUUAAAAACUCUCAUGGCCGAACAGAGCCUUCACAGCUGGUUUUUGGGAAGCAGUGAGUCUACUCCACCGUCUCCCCAGGUGCCAGCAUUCUGAUUAAAGUCAUUUUCCCUUCUGCCAUUUGUGAGUAUGUAAUUGGCUUUGUAAAAAGUGAGCAAUGGGACCUGAUUCAUUUGGUAACACAGCUAAAACACUAAAAACGGUUAUUAUUAUGAAACCUAUCACAUAGGUUUUUAUCAUAUGAAAGACAGCAUAUAUGAUUUAAAGAAUAAUCAUAAAAUGAACACCCCUAGUCACCCUCCAGCUUAAGAAAUAGAAUUUACCAGCAUUCUAGACAUCCCCUAUAUUUCUUCCCAAAUUGCAUUUCCCUGUCUCCCCUCAGAGGUAACCUGCAUCCUGAAUUUUGUGCUAAUCAUUUUUAAAGUAUCCCUAAAUAAUACAUCAAUUAGUAUUGUGUGUUUUGGACUUAAUCAUUCUUCUAUGAACUACUUCAUUUCUCAAACUUAUGUUUUUGAGAUUCAGACAUGGUGAUUCAUCUGAAAGCUUAAGUGAGCUCAUGUCCUUCACCUGUUCAAACACUCUCAGUGGCUGCCCAAGACAGUUAGGAACUAAAUGCAGCCCCCUUUCUUUCCUCAGAAGGUCCUACAAGACUGGCUCUUGCUUGUUCCCCUGCCGCAUCUCUCCUGCCGCAUCUCCUUGUUUGCUCUGCUCCAGCUGCGCUGACUUCUUGGUUCUCAGGUAUGCUGGCAUGGCUCUGUUCCAGGAAGCGGGAUCCCUUCCGGGGCCCACGAGUGGGCUCCUGUCUAACACUCGGAAAUGAAUUGUCUGAGGAGACACACCCACCGACACGGAAAGAGAUUUUCCUGGGGAGGGCGCCAGGAGGGUAAGGGGGCCCAGGAGGAGUGCUCUGCCCCGUGACUUGCAGUCUUGGGCUUAUGGCGAUGGGAUUAGUUUCCAGGUUGUCUCUGGCCAGUCACUCUGACUCCGAGUCCUUUCUGGUGGUGCACGCACUCGAGUGAGGAGGAUUCUGGGAGGUUGGUAGGACACGUGGUGUCUCCUUUUGACCUUUCCUGAAUUCUUCCCUUGUUUUGGCUUGUUAUUUCUAUGUUCCUCACCAGGACCUCCUGUCAUAAAACAACUAACGCAAAUGGUUAUUAUUGUGCCUGGUGGUUC
ensembl:lncRNA